AGGCAUGAAUGCAGUGUGGCUUUUGAUGGCUUCUGGUGGACAGGUAAGUAACGGCUAAAUACAGUGGGAAGAAUGAAAUCUGCUUAGAUGUGGUCUUUAUGUUAAGCCUGUGAUGGUUAAGAGUAGUGGGCAGAAGGUAUUUCUGAAAGAUUGUAUUCUGAGGCUUAACUACUUAACGACAUUAGUGAUUAACUUAGCAGCACAGCAUGUUUUAUUGGAUUAUUCCUUGUCUAUUUUCUAGGUGUGUACCAAAGGGAUGAGAACCGCUGCUGGGGUGAGUUAACUGAAACUCCCUGACAAAGGCAAGUUAGGUUGAAAGUCCACUGAAUGUGCCACAAUGAUGACAGUUAUUUGCUACUCUCGACUGUGAGGGUGACGAGAAUUAUUACCACCAUUAUGCUAACUGAGGCACACAAAAUGGUGCUUUAGAGAACGUAGAGAUUGAACCCAAGUUUAUAUGAAACUGUUUCUUCCCAGGUCUUAAAGCACAAGCUUAAUGCUGUAUCCAUGGGCAAAUGGGCACUAUGCAGGAAGUUAAGCACUAUGUAGGCACUAAGCUGAAAAUUGAAGGGGUGGACUUGAAUCCUUGACCUGUCUGGGCCAACUUUUUGAUCCUGGGUACACGUUUUUAUCCAUGGAUGGCUUGCUUGGGGUAAGACAUGAAAACGAUCCUUUGGCUCCUGGCAUUUGGGUUUAUAUUUUGAAAAUGUGCCGGUCUUAGUAGUUGUUGACCUAUGUUAGUGUUUUCUGGUGUUGGACUGUUGAGAAAUAAACCGGCUUUAGUAUUAAGCUGUUGUGAAGUGUGUCUAAAGAAAUAUUUCUUUGCAGGUGCAAAUUUUGGAGAUCUUUUAUAUAAAGGUAUGUAUGUGUUUUAUCAGCCUUAUGUAGUUACUGAGCAAGAUGCUGUUAGUGAUGAUUUUUUAAAAAAUUAAACAGAUGGGAAUCUCUCUGAAAAAGAAUGAAGAUUUUAAAAUACUGAAACGGUGUCUGGAAAAUUUUUGAAUUCUACCUAUUACCUAUUCAGUUUGAUUAAAUUUCAUUAAAUUUUUGCAGGUGUCAAGAGAGGUUACUGGUUACAACGCAGGGAGCAAGAAGUUUUAAGUAAAGGUAUAGAAGUUUCAAGUUUGGUUUCUGUGAUUGUGGUUUAAAGCCGAUACAAUGAUGAUAACAUAGUUCAGCAGACUAACAGUGAUGAGCAAAUACUGUCUUUCGCUCCUAUCUGAUGUAUCUGGCUGCAACAAUUCUGUUUAUAUACCCUUGAAAGUGGGAACCAGCCACUGUCUCAUAGAAAUAUUCAGGGAUUUGGAUAAGUGUAACGGCUCAUGCAGAUGUUCUGUACUGUUAAUUUCAGGAUUCGGAAUUUACAUUUUGGAUAAGAACAGGCUAACAUGUUGUGAGGACAUUUUUAUGGCAUAUACUGUAGAUUACACCAGAAUGAAUAAUUUAGCUGAUUAUUUUUGAUAGUCAUUUCUCAGAGAACUUUUAGAUUCAUAGCAAAAUUGAACAGUAGGUUACCAUAUAGCAUCCUCCCCAUCAACAUCUACCACCAGAGUGGGACUUAAAAUUUUGAAUCUAUUGUUGAUACAUCUUUUCACCCAGAGUCCAGUAGUACAUUGGGGUUCACUCAUGGUGUUGUACAUUCUCGGUUUGGACAAAUGUAUCGUGACAAAGAUCCACCUACAGAAUAGGUUCACUGCCCUAGAAUUCUUUGAAAAAUAUAAAAAUGGGCUACAAAAAUGGGAGAAAGGGCAAAUUUUAAAAGGGUUUUGUUUUUCAUUUUCAAACAGGCAAAUGUGUUACCCUGAAGACUUCAAGGUCAGUCAGUCUCUGGUAUAUAUGGUGAGUUAGAAUGUAACCAGUGAUGUGAUGAUUCUGCCAAAUGAAUAGAAUGAUAUCACCUGUAAAACCGUUCCAUUUUUAUUCUGAGGUUACUUUAUCAACAAGUAUCACAAGUUUUAUCCCUUCUACUGUGAUUUGACAUAUAUGGUCUUUACUUUUCAGGGCAUUUAUGACAGUAGUCAUGCAUCUUAACAGUUGACAGGUGAGGCUUGAAAAUAUCAGUACUGUUGUCUUGUUCCAGAAUACAUGAUGAUCUCACCCCAACUUGAACUCUCUCACUGAUUACUUGAUGAUGUUCAAAGAUCUGAUAAUUCUGUGUAUCCCAAAUGCAAUUAGAAUUGGCAUGGAAAUGGGACUUAAAAUGGUUUCUCUGUUCUUGCAGGCAGCUGGAUGGAUGGAUGCUCAUGGGAUAGGAGAGGAAACAACUUUCCGUUUUUUUAAAAGCCUAUUUUAUUUAUUGGUCAUGCUGCACAGCAUGUAGGAUCUUAGUUCCCCCACCAGGGAUUGAACCUGUGCCCCCUCUAGUGGAAGCACAGAGCCCUAACCACUGGACCACCAGGGAAUUCUCCAACUUUGAAUUUUAAUAAAUAUUUAUGA